UACAAAGGUCCCGAGCGUUGUUCGGAUUCACUGGGCGUAAAGGGUGCGUAGGUGGCAUGGUAAGUUUGAUGUGAAAGCUCAGGGCUCAACCCUGAAAUGGCAUUGAAUACUACUGUGCUGGAGGUUUGGAGGGGGGACUGGAAUUCUUGGUGUAGCAGUGAAAUGCGUAGAUAUCAAGAGGAACACCAGUGGCGAAGGCGAGUCCCUGGACAACACCUGACACUGAGGCACGAAAGCCGGGGGAGCAAACAGG
rnacentral:rRNA from 1 species